rnacentral:rRNA from 1 species
UGGCGGCGUGCUAUACAUGCAGUUGAGCGCUGAAGGUUGGUACUUGUACCGACUGGAUGAGCAGCGAACGGGUGAGUAACGCGUGGGGAAUCUGCCUUUGAGCGGGGGACAACAUUUGGAAACGAAUGCUAAUACCGCAUAAAAACUUUAAACACAAGUUUUAAGUUUGAAAGAUGCAAUUGCAUCACUCAAAGAUGAUCCCGCGUUGUAUUAGCUAGUUGGUGAGGUAAAGGCUCACCAAGGCGAUGAUACAUAGCCGACCUGAGAGGGUGAUCGGCCACAUUGGGACUGAGACACGGCCCAAACUCCUACGGGAGGCAGCAGUAGGGAAUCUUCGGCAAUGGACGAAAGUCUGACCGAGCAACGCCGCGUGAGUGAAGAAGGUUUUCGGAUCGUAAAACUCUGUUGGUAGAGAAGAACGUUGGUGAGAGUGGAAAGCUCAUCAAGUGACGGUAACUACCCAGAAAGGGACGGCUAACUACGUGCCAGCAGCCGCGGUAAUACGUAGGUCCCGAGCGUUGUCCGGAUUUAUUGGGCGUAAAGCGAGCGCAGGUGGUUUAUUAAGUCUGGUGUAAAAGGCAGUGGCUCAACCAUUGUAUGCAUUGGAAACUGGUAGACUUGAGUGCAGGAGAGGAGAGUGGAAUUCCAUGUGUAGCGGGUGAAAUGCGUAGAUUAUAUGGAGGAACACCGGUGGCGAAAGCGGCUUCUCUGGCCUUGUAACUGACACUGAGGCUCGAAAGCGUGGGGGAGCAAACAGGAUUAGAUACCCUGGUAGUCCACGCCGUAAACGAUGAANGUGCUAGAUGUAGGGAGCUAUAAGUUCUCUUGUAUCGCAGCUAACGCAAUAAGCACUCCGCCUGGGAAGUACCGACCGCAAGGUUGAAACUCAAAGGAAAUGACGGGGCUCGCACAAGCGGUGGAACAUGUGUUUAUUCGAAGCACGCGGAGACCUUACAGUCUUGACAUACUCGUGCUAUUCUAGAAGAUAGAAGUCUCUCGGACCCGGAUCAGGUGUGCAGGUGUCGUCACCUCUGUCCUGAGAAUGUGGUAGUCCGCAACAGGCAACCCUAUGUAGGUGCAUCAUAAGUGGCGUCUACCGACAGCUGCGGUAAAC